rnacentral:sRNA from 1 species
CUGCGGGGAGGUGCUGGGCUUCCUGGGCAGCUCGUCGGUGUUCUGCAAAGACUGCAGGAAGAAAGUCUGCACCAAGUGUGGGAUUGAGGCUUCCCCUGGCCAGAAGCGGCCCCUGUGGCUGUGUAAGAUCUGCAGUGAGCAAAGAGAGGUCUGGAAGAGGUCGGGGGCCUGGUUCUACAAAGGGCUCCCCAAGUAUAUCUUGCCCCUGAAGACCCCUGGCCGAGCUGAUGACCCCCACUUCCGACCUUUGCCCACGGAACCAGCAGAGCGAGAGCCCAGAAGCUCCGAGACCAGCCGCAUCUACACGUGGGCCCGAGGAAGAGUGGUUUCCAGCGACAGUGACAGUGACUCGGAUCUUAGCUCCUCCAGCCUAGAGGACGGACUCCCACCCACUGGGGUCAGGGACCGGAAAGGUGACAAACCCUGGAGGGGGUCAGGUGGCAGCGUGGAGGCCCCCAGGAUGGGGUUCACCCACCCGCUGGGCCACCUCUCCGGGAGCCAGAGCAGCCUGGCUGGUGAGACGGGGACGGGCUCCGCCGACCCGCGGUGGGGACCCUGCCCUGUGCUGACCCGAAGGGCCCCGGAUCUCAUGCUGUAGCCCAGGCUGGAGUGCACUGGUGUGAUCACCGUUCACCGAGCCUCG